GUGCAGCAGGCGCGAAAACUUUACAAUGUGCGAAAGCACGAUAAGGGAACUCUGAGUGCCUCCUAAGGAGGCUGUUCAGGUGUCUAAAAAGCACCUGGAGUAAGGGCUGGGUAAGACCGGUGCCAGCCGCCGCGGUAACACCGGCAGCCCAGGUGGUAGCCACUUUUAUUGGGUCUAAAGCGUCCGUAGCCGGUUGAGUAAGUUCCUUGGGAAAUUUGGCUGCUCAACAGUCAAGCUUCCAGGGAAUACUGCUCGACUUGGGGACUGGGAGAGGUCAGAGGUACUCCAGGGGUAGGGGUGAAAUCCAUUAAUCCCUGGGGGACCACCGGUAGCGAAGGCGUCUGACCAGACCAGGUCCGACGGUGAGGGACGAAGGCUAGGGUCGCGAACCGGAUUAGAUACCCGUGU
rnacentral:rRNA from 1 species